rnacentral:misc_RNA from 1 species
AACCAUUCUCACCUGCGGCUAGACCUGCGGAGGGAUCAUUAAAAAAAUCCUUUGCCCGCGGACCUUUUUGUCGUCCAAGGCGCAAAACCCACACUGUGUGCACCGUUGUCGUUUCUUUGGCAGGGGCUUGGGGUUUUUACCUCAACUUCUCCUCCGGCUCUAUUCCACCAUCUCGCGCGGGACAGCUGGACAUGGGAAGCAGUUUACCCUGCCAAGUAAAACCCUCAAUCACGCUUUUUU